GUAGAACUGAAAUGAAGCAAGUUUAAAACCAUGCGGAUCAAUGCCCAAAUGGAGGAAAAGAAAAGAAAGAUCUGGUGUGGAUCCUAAUCUGACGUGACUGCAUAAAUCAAGAGCAGUGUUAUGGAUGACUGGAGACUCACACUGGAAUAAUAGCAACAGAACUCCAACAGCAAUUUCUGAGCUCCAGUACGGCAGGAAUAUCAAGGAGAG